UGCUUAUAAUAUUUUCCAUCAUGUGGAGGAAUUCAUUAACAUCAAGGUUUACCGGGCGUCAACAAGAUUUUUGUUAGCAAUUUGGAUCCUAAUGUCACUGAUGAUCAUCUGAGGCAAGUUGUCAGCCAGUACGGAGAAUUAGUUCAUGUGAAGAAUCCAGCAUGCAAGCUGACGUGGGUUUGUCCAACUUGCAGACAGUUAUGCAGAAGAGGCACUACGAAUUUUAAAUGAAACGCUAUUGGGUGGACAAAAUGUUCGUCUUUCACGGGGCCACAGUCCUUCAAACAUUCGGG